rnacentral:rRNA from 1 species
UGUUGCCUACGGGGCGCAGCAGUGGGGAAUAUUGGGCAAUGGGCGCAAGCCUGACCCAGCAACGCCGCGUGAAGGAAGAAGGCUUUCGGGUUGUAAACUUCUUUUCUCAGGGACGAAGCAAGUGACGGUACCUGAGGAAUAAGCCACGUCUAACUACGUGCCAGCAGCCGCGGUAAUACGUAGGUGGCAAGCGUUAUCCGGAUUUACUGGGUGUAAAUGGCGUGUAGGCGGGAAAGCAAGUCAGAUGUGAAAACCACGGGUUCAACCUGUGGCCUGCCUUUGAAACUGUUUUUCUUGAGUACUGG